rnacentral:rRNA from 1 species
AUUGAACGCUGGCGGCAUGCUUUACACAUGCAAGUCGAACGGCAGCACGGGUGCUUGCACCUGGUGGCGAGUGGCGGACGGGUGAGUAAUACAUCGGAACGUGUCCAGAAGAGGGGGAUAACGCAUCGAAAGAUGUGCUAAUACCGCAUAUGCUCUGAGGAGGUAAGUAGGGGAUCGAAAGACCUUACGCUUUUGGAGCGGCCGAUGUCUGAUUAGCUAGUUGGUGGGGUAAGGGCCUACCAAGGCGACGAUCAGUAGUUGGUCUGAGAGGACGACCAGCCACACUGGGACUGAGACACGGCCCAGACUCCUACGGGAGGCAGCAGUGGGGAAUUUUGGACAAUGGGCGCAAGCCUGAUCCAGCAAUGCCGCGUGAGUGAAGAAGGCCUCGGUUGUAAGUACGUACUUUCUAGUCGAGAAGAAAAGGACGUAGCAGUGAAGUAACUAGUAGUUUA